rnacentral:rRNA from 1 species
UGGCGAACGGGUGAGUAAUACAUCGNGNAACGUGUUCCUGUAGUGGGGGAUAGCCCGGCGAAAGCCGGAUUAAUACCGCAUACGACCUAAGGGAGAAAGCGGGGGGAUCUUCGGACCUCGCGCUAUAGGGGCGGCCGAUGGCAGAUUAGCUAGUUGGUGGGGUAAAGGCCUACCAAGGCGACGAUCUGUAGCUGGUCUGAGAGGACGACCAGCCACACUGGGACUGAGACACGGCCCANACUCCUACGGGAGGCAGCAGUGGGGAAUUUUGGACAAUGGGGGCAACCCUGAUCCAGCAAUGCCGCGUGUGUGAAGAAGGCCUUCGGGUUGUAAAGCACUUUUGUCCGGAAAGAAAACUUCGAGGCUAAUAUCCUUGGAGGAUGACGGUACCGGAAGAAUAAGCACCGGCUAACUACGUGCCAGCAGCCGCGGUAAUACGUAGGGUGCGAGCGUUAAUCGGAAUUACUGGGCGUAAAGCGUGCGCAGGUGGUCUGUUAAGACCGAUGUGAAAUCCCCGGGCUUAACCUGGGACUGCAUUGGUGACUGGCAGGCUUUGAGUGUGGCAGAGGGGAGUAGAAUUCCACGUGUAGCAGUGAAAUGCGUAGAGAUGUGGAGGAAUACCGAUGGCGAAGGCAGCCCCCUGGGCCGACACUGACGCUCAUGCACGAAAGCGUGGGGAGCAAACAGGAUUAGAUACCCUGGUAGUCCACGCUCUAAACGAUGUCAACUAGUUGUUGGGGAUUCGUUUCCUUAGUAACGUAGCUAACGCGUGAAGUUGACCGCCUGGGGAGUACGGUCGCAAGAUUAAAACUCAAAGGAAUUGACGGGGACCCGCACAAGCGGUGGAUGAUGUGGAUUAAUUCGAUGCAACGCGAAAAACCUUACCUACCCUUGACAUGGUCGGAACCCUGCUGAAAGGUGGGGGUGCUCGAAAGAGAACCGGCGCACAGGUGCUGCAUGGCUGUCGUCAGCUCGUGUCGUGAGAUGUUGGGUUAAGUCCCGCAACGAGCGCAACCCUUGUCCUUAGUUGCUACGCAAGAGCACUCUAAGGAGACUGCCGGUGACAAACCGGAGGAAGGUGGGGAUGACGUCAAGUCCUCAUGGCCCUUAUGGGUAGGGCUUCACA